AAAGUCAGAAUUUAGUUGAAUGGUCUGAAGAAGAAUCAAAGUUCGUCUCGAUACGAGUUCGUAGGCGAAAACGGAUCUAAAAUCCGACUUGAAACGAGGGAGAACGGACCAAAACAAAAAUGCUGCGCAUUGCAGUCUGCGGGCGGCGUGGACGGCGGCGCCGUGGCACUGCGCGCGCCGUCACGGCGGCGCCGUUCCACGGCGGCGCCGCCUCUGUUCAGAUCCGACAGUACGAUUUUUCGUUUAAAAACCCCUUUCUAGGGUUUUACUUUAUCAUUCUCGUCCCCAGCAGCCUCCAUAGGCGAUUUUUCACCUCUUUCUUAAGGUUUUUAGAGUUCCACAACACUUACUUUCAAUCUUGGAUUCAUUGGAUUGCUUUGGAUGUCAAUUAACACUUCAUCGGAUUGGUUUUCCUUGGAUUGCUAUGUUUUGUAAGAACUCCCUUUGAUUCUCUUUGUUUAUGAAUCCCUUGGUUAUUUAAGUCUUUGUUUCUUGUCUUUAAUGAAUAUGAUGAUUGAAGAUUAUUGUUGUUGAUUCUAUAUUCUCUUGGUUUUAUGAAUCUUUUGGUUAAUUGAGUUUUGUGUUUUAUGUAUUUGAUGAAUGUGAAGAUUGAAGUUCAUUGUUGUUGAUUCUAGAUUCUCUUGGUUUUCUAAAUCCUUUGGUUUAUUUGAAUCUUUAUUUUGUGUUUUGAUUAAUAUGAUGAUUGGAGAUAAUUGUUGUUGAGUUUAGAUAAUCUACGUGAUUCGUAGUUUGUUGCUAUUGUUUACCCUUUUCCUUUCUUGUUGAUGAAUAUUUAGAGAUUUCUUUUAUGGAGAUUAAGAUUUUCUUGCAUUCGAAUCUUAUGCUUGAUUGAGUUUCUUGCCUAGGUAGUUAUUAAUCUUUGAUGUUUACAAGUUUAUGAUCGUUUGGUUUAGUGUUGGAGUUGGAAACUCUAGUUGAUUUCGUUAAUGUUCAAAUGCCAUGUUCUAGUUAGUUCGUCGUUGAGUUGCUUGUGAAAUUCUCUUUGAUUGUGUGUGUUUGCUUAACAUUCAUUUGAUUAAAUGUUAAUAUGUUAUUUCGCCUAGAUAAUCGUUGUUUAUGGUGUUGAAUUGAUGAUUGCUUUCUAGAUUGCUAGUUUAGAACCCUAGCUUUGUUUGCCUUCUUGCAUUCUUAUUGGCUUUCUAUCUUUUGCCUAGUUAACUUUAUAUGCUUUAUUUUAAUUACGCAUUAGUUAAUCGGAGAGAAAGUGUCAGACCCAAACUUCUGAUUAGAGUGUUUAGAUUUCUUUUAAGUUUCUUGUGAGCAAUACGAUUAGAGCCCUGCUAAGUCUUCCUUGUGAGACGACUUGAGUCACCUUACCACCCUAGGACGACCUCGUAUAAAUUCGAGUCCAUCCGUUAGGUGUUUUUGGAUGAGUCAAAUUUUGGCGCCGUUGCCGGGGAAGGCUUUAGGCAUUUGAUUGUGUUGCAUUGUUUUCCGUGUUUAUUUUUGUUUAUUUCUUUUGACUCGGUUAUUUUCUCCCUCCGGUGCGUUUGAUUUGUUUGUUCGUGUUGUGUAUGCAAGGACGUAGAAGCUUGAAGAGAAAGCUUGCACCUUACUACGACAACAUUCAUCGACCUCGGGAGGUUCUUUCAAGCCUGGAGAAGGAGUCCGAGUCCAGUUCGAGAAGCCUUGUGGAAUCACAGUUUAGUGAGGAAAACUGUGAAGAGAGAAUUGCUUCCAAUCCCAUUCUGGAAGCCGUUGAGGAGACACUUUCCGUGCAUUCUGAAGAAGAAGAAGAAGCUCGGCCCAAUCCUGACCAAGAAGCAAUGGCGGAGCAGAAUGUUCAGUACAUGGGAGAUUUUUCCAGGCCAGUUAUUGGGACCACUAGCACGUCAGCGAUAGUGCUUCCCACGGCGGUCCGUAAUUAUAAUCUGAAACCCAACGAUUCAAACCUGCUGCCGCUCUUUCAUGGGAUGCCGAGUGAGGACGCCUUACAGUUCAUCCGUGACUUCUGCACUCAAGUGCAGACCUUCCCACUGUUGGAGCUCACCGAGGAUCAGUUGAGACUCAAGUGCUUACCUUAUGCACUCAAGGACCGGGCUAGAACGUGGUUGCUGUCCCUGCCGCCGAACUCUAUCACCACAUGGGGAGAGGCGUGUGAGAAGUUCAUGCUCAAGUACUACCCUAAUCACAAGACUCAAGAGAUUAGGAGCCAAAUAAUGAACUUCAUGCAAGGAGCUGACGAGCCUCUCCACGAGGCUUGGGAGAGAUUCCAAGAGCUCAUCCGCCAGUGCCCACAGCACCAGUUAGCACCCGUCAUGUUGAUGCAGUUCUUCUAUGACGGAUUGAUACAGACGGCACAGUUUAUGGUGGACAGUACAGCAGGGGGCAACAUUGCCCGGAAGACAGCUGAUGAGCUCAAGGAGAUUUUCAACACACUUGCAGCGAGUUCUCAACAGAAAUCAGUUAGAGGAAGGAGGGUUGAAGCCAAUGCAGUAGCUCCCAACAAUGAGCUUCAGAAGCAAGUAGCAGAUUUGAUGAGGCAAGUUCAACACCUCAAGAUGAACCAGGCAGAAGCCCCGCCAGUUCACGCGCCACCAUCAGAAGGAUGUGGAAUAUGUGGCGAUUUUGGCCACGGAACCAACGAGUGCCAUCGAAUGGGGGAGUUUACACCUGAAGGGGAGGCAGAGGUCUAUGCUGCUCAGGGCUAUCCGGGGAGGCCUCAAUUUGAACAGAGGCCCAUCUUUAAUCAAGGGCAACAAAGCUCCAACUCGGGUUGGAGAAAUCAGCAGAAUUCGGAUGGAGGAACCAAGCUCCUGGCCAAGGGUCGGGAUCAAAUCAAGGCAAUCAGCUCCCCCGACCUCCACAGCAAUUGGGGUAUCAGAACCAGCAGCAGUUCUACCCAUCUCAACAACAGCCCUCAUUUCCUCAGCAGCAGCAUUACCCUCAACCAUAUCAGCAACAGCAGCCACCGCAACAACUCUAUCCACCUCAGCAGCACCAACCUCCAGGCCCCUUAUUUGAAGAUCAGAUACAAGCUUUCAUGCAAGCUAGCAAACAGGCGAUGGAGGCUCAGAGUGCUACCAUCAAGCGCCUCGAGACUACAGUUGGGCAACUAACAGGAGCCUUGAAUCAGCUGCAGCAAGAACAGCCAACUGGGAAGUUCCCAACCCAGGACCAACAGCCGCAUCAAGCCCAUGCCGUAGCGGUAAUCAAGGAGAAUGCCCCAAUAACUACGGGGAAAUGGAGAAGCAAAACUGUGCAAGCAAUCAAGGCUACCCAAUGCCCCAGUGAGCCACUGCCACCUAUCACUGUCGCACCAGAACAACCACCACCCAAGCAAGGAGAUCCAGGUAGCUUUAUUUUUGAUAUUAGCUUAGGUGGGGUUGAAAAGGCUUUAGGAAUGCUUGAUUUGGGCGCGGCAGUCAAUUUGAUGCCGCUUGAUAUUUUUGAGAAAUUGGGUAAUAAAGAGCUUAAAUGCACGAAUAUGAAGAUAGAGCUAGCUGACGGCUCUAUUAGUAGCCCACGAGGCCUUGUUGAGGAUGUUGAGGUUGUUGUGAGGGGGAUUAGUGUUUUGGCUGAUUUUGUUGUCCUUGAUGUGGGAAAAGGGAUUAGAGGCGAGAAUGGGCAUCUCGUGCUACUUGGCCGACCCUUUAUGGCUACCACCCAUACUCGCAUCGAUGUGAGUACGGGAACUGUAAGUAUGGUAGGGGCAGGUAGAGCGGUAACAUUCUCUGUUUUUGAUAAAAAAAAAACCUACUACCCCCACUCCCUUACUUCAAAUCUGCUCUUAUGUUGAAACAUUUGAUGCUUUGGAUGAGGAUUGUAUUGUGCAGGAAUUCCUUAAUAAGCUGCAGGAGGAGGACGAGAUCGUGGAAGAAUUUCAUGCUAACCUGCAAGAUGAAAGUGAGAUUGAGCAAGAAUUCCUAGAUAAGCUGCAAGAGGAAGAUGAUAAAGAGCAAGGCCCCCUGUGUGCCUUGCUACUGGAAGAGAAGCUUGAUGAGAAUGAGUCACUUAAUCUCGUUGGAUGUGUGGAUAGAGGGCCAUCCCAAGAUAUGAGCAUGGAGCACUCAUUUGGAGGACCCGCAGCUGCAAUUCAAGAAGAUGUGUUUACAAGGGCGCUAAGGCAGCUGGAGCUUCAAUCGGAUUUUGGUUAAGGGGUUCUCUUAGUCGGGCUGGCGACUUAAAAACUAGCGCUGCAUGGGAGGCAACCCAUGUUUUCUUGCUUUUUCUUGUUUCGUUUUUCUUUCGUUUUGUUUGUGUUGUGUUUUGUUGCUUCUGUUGUUUGGUGCAGGUUGUUGCGUUGGAGACUGCUUGUUCUUUGGAUGAGAGAGAGGCAGACAUCGUGGGACAUUACAGACUCACCACUGGAUCGGUAUUUAGGGAAGUUUCCUCUUUCACCCCUCUUUUUGUUUGCACUGAGGACAGUGCCAGAGUUUUAAGUGUGGGGGGGGUGUUUGUUGGUAGUUGUGAAUCCUGUGGGUGUCUUCUUGUUGUGUUCUUGGGCUUUCUUGUGUGGGGCGAAUGGUCCCCUUAUCUUGAUUUCUUGUUGUUUUUAAGUGCACCUCGCAUGUUGAUGGUGGUUCACUAGCGAUUCUGGUUUGUGUUUCGAGUUGAUUGUUGUCCUUGUCUUUUGUGAUUGAUUUGUUCCCAAUGUGGUGUAAUUAGUUUAAUGUUUGGAUGCAACACCCUGAUGAGCAACUCUUGACGUGAUUUGUCCGGUAGAUGCUAGGGGGAGUGUUUUCAUUGCAAUUUCCUAAUAUCUUUCUCUGUGUUGAAAUGUUUGGUUGGUUGUUGAGUUUUUGAUAGCUCUGGGUCUCUGCUCCUCUAAUGGCAUCAUUAUGAGCAUGGGAAACCACACGAGAAUAUUUUGGAUCACCUCCAAAAGUGUCAAUCUCGUGAAUUAUGGCCUAUCUAUUAAGAGCGAAAAUAACUUGACCCCAAAAAAAAAAAGAGAAAGUGAAAUGUGAAAAGAAAAAGAAUGUAAGAAUGUAGAAAAAGGAUGAGAUAUGAUUAUAAAGGAAAUUGCAUUAGGAAAUUCACCCCUAGCGGAGAAUUGGGUCUGAUCGGAUUGAGUUGUAUCAUCUUGUUGUUGCAUUUUAAACCUUAACUUUGAACACCUGAUUGGGGACAUUGAUAUCUUGAAAGACUUGGAUUGGUUGGUGUUUUGCUUAGUGAGAAGAAUCGCUUGUGGAUUUUCUUUCGAUGUUGUGAUUGUUGCUUGAGGACAGCAAGGUAUUAGUGUGGGGGGUUGUUUAGCCCUAUUUUGUGAUGAAUUUGUGGGUGUUUACGUCUUAUAUUGACUUUUAUUUUGGUCUCUUUCACUUAAGAGUUGAAUGAUUUGAGCUUUUGUGCUAAUUUUGUUGUCUCAGGAUUUUGUGCUCAAAUUGAUUGAUAUGUGGACAAAAAUAAAGUCAGAAUUUAGUUGAUUGGUUUGAAGAAGAAUCGAAGUUCGUCUCGAUACGAGUUCGUAGGCGAAAACGGAUCCAAAAUCCGACUUGAAACGAGGGAGAACGGGCCAAAACAAAACUGCUGCGCAUUGCAGUGGACGGCGGGCGCCGUGUGACGGCGGCCGCCGUGCCCAAACUGCGAAGGGGGCACACGGCGCCGCCGUGUCACGGCGCCGCCGCCUCUGUGCAGAUCCGACAG
rnacentral:lncRNA from 1 species